rnacentral:rRNA from 1 species
UACGGGGGGGGUAAGCGUUGUUCGGAAUUACUGGGCGUAAAGGGCUCGUAGGCGGCCAACUAAGUCAUACGUGAAAUCCCCAGGCUCAACUUGGGAACUGCAUCCGAUACUGGAUGGCUUGAAUCCGGGAGAGGGAUGCAGAAUUCCAGGUGUAGCGGUGAAAUGCGUAGAUAUCUGGAGGAAUACCGGUGGCGAAGGCGGCAUCCUGGACCGGCAUUGACGCUGAUGAGCGAAAGCUAGGGGAGCAAACGGG